CAUUGUUCAACUUCUUCAGUUAUUCAAGUGUCACACCAUACUUCUCUUCAAGUCGCAACUCCCACUUGAACGGUCGCCUAAAAGCCUAAAACCCACGUUGUUUCUGUUGACCUCAAUUCUUCUCCUUCUCCAAAUACCCUUUUUCUUUAAACAAAUCCUUUUACAAGUCACAAACCUCUCAAUUCACCUUCACCAAUGGCUUCUAUGGCUGUAUCGCAUCUAUCUUCUCCACUCGCAGUUAUCAUAAGGGCUUUGAGAAUGCCUCCCUUCCUUUGCCCAGUGGAAGAAUAUGAUGCCGAAAACGGAAACCCCAAUUGAAUUGAGUGGAAGAAUAUGAUGCCGAAAACGGAAACCCCAAUUGAAUUGAGUGGAAGAAUAUGAUGCCGAAAACGGAAACCCCAAUUGAAUUGAGUAAUUUUACCUGCUUGUUCUAGUGGGUAGAGUGAUUGAAUAGAAUCCGGGAGUGUCACCUGUGGCUAUAAUGAAUAUGACUAUCAAUAAUAACUUCUUUCUUGGGCAUUUCCCUGAGCUAUCAUGCACGGUGUUCUCAUGGUUGAGGUAUGUAUAUGACUUGUUUCUUCAUUCCAUGACUGAUACUGAAUGUGCAUUUCUGUUGGUUCAAUGGUCUUGUCUUAUUGAGUGUGGCAUGUUUAGAGUUCCUCUUUUUAAAAUCGAAGUAAUUGGAUAAAUUUGUUGUCUUAUUACCAACUGCAGAUUUUCAGGCCAAUGCUAAUUUAACUGAUGAUAGUUCUGAACUUUUUUCAUGUAGCAUGUUGCUUCAUGUCAUUACCGAACAGAUAGGUGAAGUCCUUAAUUUUCACGAGUUACUCUUACCCAAGCUGGUGGCUCGGUUAUGAUUGUAACCUGAAGGUUCAGGCUCCAGAGUGAACUUUUUCUUAGCUGGAAAGACAAAGUAAGGUUCUGGAAGCCAGUGAUGGCCUAUGUUGCGCGAACUCUCCAAUAUGCUACUGCACCCGUGUCGGAUCCUCCAAAAAUGUACUACUUUUGGAGGAUUCGACACACAUCCGGCUACAUUUUCGGAGAGUCCGAACAACAUAAGUGGUGGCUGGAAAUAGCUUGGUAAUGAGAAUGACACUGAUCUUGAAAAGAAACGUAUUUCUAGGACUAAAAAUAGAUGUUUACAUAAUCUUUACUUUUGGUGUAAAAGCAGUCUGUUAGUGAAUCUUGAUCAAUAUAUGGAUUUUCUGGAUUUAUUAGGAAGAAGGAUGUAGUAGUUUGCUUCUUUUUGGCUUCUGUUUGAGUGAUGUACUAGUUUGUACCAUCUUGGUACCUUAACAAUAAAAUCUUAACCUUAUAAAAAAUGAGAAUAACACUGAUGAAGCUGCAAAAAUGGUUUGGAAUAAUAAAGAUGGAAGGAAAGGCAUAUCUAGCAGGGGAUGUGGUUUGUGAGGGUGAGUUCUUGAUGGCUACAAGCAGCGAGUAACGCUGUGCAGCUACAAGUCCGUUGCUAGGCAACUUUCUGGCACCUUGAUCAGUUUUCUCCCUCCAUCUGUCCCAUUUAUGUUAAACUAGGGAAUCUAAUAAAAUGAUCAUCUGAUGAGUAGUUCUAUGAGCUUUUGGUUUCUGUCCUUGCCAAAGCUAAACGAAAUGGUUUGUUACAUUCAGGAUGAAUGCGAAUUUCCUAUAUCUGUGAGCAAAGGUCUCUUUGUCCUUCAGUGCAUUGUUAUGACAAUUCUAAUUCUUGUUGUAUGAGAUAUUGCUCUUGUAACCCCAGAAGGCAGCAACUCACUGACAAUGCUGCCUUCCUGGUUGAAUUAUGUUGUUGUGAAGGUUUUUGCCGCAUUUUGAUCAAAUUACCAAUUGAGACUGCAGAUUAUGCUCAUUCUUGAACUAGGUUCUUCAGAUGUUAAGUCAGGAUUCUUGAAUCAUUUGAUUGGAAUUUUUACUACCAUGUCUCUGCCUCUGUAUUGUUACAAUUGUUAUACUGUAAUACUUGGGCCAGAGCAAUCUUAAAUGUUUUCUUGAAGUAUAUAAAUUAUGUAAGAUGAUAAAUUGUUUCAAGGGAAGAAUUUGAACUUUCUUAAGGGGAAAAACUUGGAGGGACAAAUCCAAGCUUUGGUUUCUUCUUUCUACAUCCAGUGACUCUUUACAAUGAAAUGUUUAAUAAUACGAAAUCCCUUACAAACCAAGAGCUCCAAGGGGUGUCUUCCCUUGCCCGGCCUCAAA